UACGUAGGGACCAAGCGUUGUUCGGAUUUACUGGGCGUAAAGGGCGCGUAGGCGGCUUGACAAGUCACUUGUGAAAUCUCCGGGCUUAACUCGGAACGGCCAAGUGAAACUGUCAUGCUAGAGUGCAGAAGGGGCAAUCGGAAUUCUUGGUGUAGCGGUGAAAUGCGUAGAUAUCAAGAGGAACACCUGAGGUGAAGACGGGUUGCUGGGCUGACACUAACGCUGAGGCGCGAAAGCCAGGGGAGCAAACGGG
rnacentral:rRNA from 1 species